AAUAUCUAUGACUUACUAAAAACUUGAUCAAAAUGACUAUAAAAACAAGAUUUUUAGGGUUUAGAUCUCACUUUUCCUUAAUUUUAGUCAUCAUCUACGAUUAACAGGAGACCGCGUUUAUCCAAGUCCAUUAAUCUCCUCAGCUUUUAUUGGCAUCAACAAAGUUAGAGAUUCCAGCUAAAUGUCGGCCACUGAGGAGGUUGUUGCAUGCAAUGGGAAUACAUGUAGAAUCAAUGGAACUGGAAUUCAGCUUUAUCCAGUUUCUCCCAAUGACUUUGGCGAAGGUUUACCAUAUGCUCCUGUGGAUUGGCCAAAUGCUGGUGAUAAGUGGGGCUGGCGGGCGGGUAAAAGAGCUACAUCUUUAGGCACCUUUAAAGAUAGAUAUCUGUAUCUUCCAAAGAGUCUUCAGGGCCAGAAAGAUGGAAAGAACAAUGCUUUUCGAAGUAAGGUUUCCGUUAAACAAUAUCUCCAGUCUCAGUAUCCAAGUUUGGAUAUCAACCAGUUCUUUGCCUCAUUCAGUUGGAUGAUUCCUUCAAACGAGUCACCAAGCUCAAAAGGUUAGCUUUGACAAGGCUCUUCAGUAUCUUGCAUGUAGGGAUUUGUUUGGUUGUUUGCAUCAAUUAAUAAAAGCUUUUAUCACAUGGCUCACUGUGUAUAUUAAAUUUCCAAAUGGAACAGCAGUUGUAUGUAAGGACCUAUCCCAAAUCACCUUUCUCACCCUUUGGUCUUUACAUAUGUAUCCUUGUCCUGGACUCUGUUUCAUCUCUAAUCUUUUUCGUAACAGAUAUCCGAAGGGACCGUUCCAUCUCUUA